UCCAAACCCUAAAAAUCAACCCAAAACCUAAAAAAACAAAUAUAAUUUUAUUAUGUUUUAAAUCAAGUGGGGCCCUUUUUUUUUUUUUUUUUUUUUUUUUUUUUUUUUUUUUCACAUAUAAACAAUUUUCAUCUCCCUAUCAAAUCAGUCUCACCGUAUGCCACUUUCAUGUCUCCCUCUACGAAGCACUUGCCUCUUCCUUUCUCUCUCUACCAAUUAUCUUCCCUGUUAUAUCUCCCAUUCUAUCCGAUACUGCUAUUACCGUUCCAUCAAUAAAUUUCGUAAUGCAUCUUCCACCGUUUUUUUUUUUUUUUGGUCUCCGUUUGUUUCCCGGGAAAGUGAGGGAAACACAGAGAGAAUUUGCUUAAUGCUGGCUUCAUUUUACCGACAACAGAAUAGCAUCAACGUUAAAUGAAGAGUGGAUCUUGUUGUGGCCUUCGCUAUCUGAUUCUGCAGCUGUAGCCUCAACAUUGCUGCCUCCCUCUGCCAGAACUAUUAAGGACUCAAAUGGAUUAUGUCAAUAACUCGGAUCAUCAGGAUGACAAUGCUGAUGUGGUAUGAUUUGAACUUCAAAAGACAUGAGCUAGUAUUUGUGAGCACAGGGUUGAGUCAUGUUUAAGGAGAACAUCAAGGAUCAACUACAAGAAGAUUUGGAUGAUGCACACUUCAGUUCAAUCACACGCAUCAAAGGUAAAGUGAGAGUGUCAGGAUAAGUGUAGGAUACUUGCAAAUAAGGUUCAUAUUUUUUUAUUUAUGAAAUGACAAAAAAAAAAAAAAAACAAAGAAA